CCUUGAUGGCGACCGGCGCACGGGUGAGUAACACGUAUCCAACCUGCCGAUAACUCGGGGAUAGCCUUUCGAAAGAAAGAUUAAUACCCGAUGGUAUAAUCAGACCGCAUGGUUUGAUUAUUAAAGAAUUUCGGUUAUCGAUGGGGAUGCGUUCCAUUAGGCAGUUGGUGAGGUAACGGCUCACCAAACCUUCGAUGGAUAGGGGUUCUGAGAGGAAGGUCCCCCACAUUGGAACUGAGACACGGUCCAA
rnacentral:rRNA from 1 species